rnacentral:lncRNA from 1 species
ACAUUAGAUACCUCAGAGAAAAAUGAGGAAGACAAGGAGCUACUCAUUUGUGAUAGGACACCAGGACAAAUCCUGAUGGAAAAACAAGCCCAAUGAGUGACACUCAUAACAGACAGCUAGUGAUUUUCUGUUGUUUUCAGCCUCAAUUUCAUCUUCUCGGGUGGGUCCCCAACCACACCGUCCUGCAAAUGCUCUGAAGAACAGCAGCACAGUGACAGCCAAGAGGAUCAUGGCCACACUCACCAAACCUGCAGUCAAAUGCAAGAUUAGCUGUGUCACAAAGAAUGCUGUGGGCGCAUGCCCAGCCCCAGCCCUGCUCGGAGCACGUGAGCGUGCACCCCAGGUGGCUGCUUUGGAGUACCUGGGGCAAAAUCUCAUUCAAGAAUCUGCUAUUCCCCUCCCUCUCUGUGAGUGAUUUCUUACCUCUAAAAGCUGCUGCUUCCAACGUCCUUGUGCUGGCUGUCAUCAGAUAUCAUUUUCUACGUGGGACUGUUUUGACUUUUCUACAACAUCGUGACAUUCUUACAGCUCCGAUGGAAUCAGAUGGCUAAUGGAAAGCAUCCCAAAGAGUCACAAAAGACACGUGAAGUAAGCACUUCCUUUUCCUUUCAGCUCUCUCUUUGGCAGGAAGCACCUUGCAUCUAGCUGUGCCAUCUUUCUGAGACACUCAGGCAAACCUAAUGGAGAAUCCUUACGCCUCCAGAAUCGCAUUGCUGCUGGGAUAAAACGGAUGCAAAUGCAGAGCGAUCUGAUAGAGAAUCUCAAUCACUGCCUGUACAGAGUAGCACACCUUACAUUCCAAACACAAGAAACUGUAUUACCUUUGUCUUGCUUUCUUAAAAGCGACAACCUGUCAGGUGAAACAAUAAAUCUGCUAGCUGGCCUCUCCUGCCCCAAACCUCUUAAGGCUCCAGCUCGUGUUUGUUUCUGAACACUCUCUGCCAACAUUUCAUUUUCCUCUCGUACUGAUACUUAAUGCCUUAAGUGCUUGGAAAGAUAAACACUGUCUUUAAGCAGCACAAUCUCUUGAUCAGUUUAUCUGAGGAUUAUUACACGAGUGCACAGAGGAGUGAGUCAUAAAUUGAGCACAUUUUUGCCCCAGCUGGU